GACGAACGCUGGCGGCGUGCUUAACACAUGCAAGUCGAACGGAAAGGCCCUGCUUUUGUGGGGUGCUCGAGUGGCGAACGGGUGAGUAACACGUGAGUAACCUGCCCUUGACUUUGGGAUAACUUCAGGAAACUGGGGCUAAUACCGGAUAGGAGCUCCUGCUGCAUGGUGGGGGUUGGAGAGUUUCGGCGGUUGGGGAUGGACUCGCGGCUUAUCAGCUUGUUGGUGGGGUAGUGGCUUACCAAGGCUUUGACGGGUAGCCGGCCUGAGAGGGUGACCGGCCACAUUGGGACUGAGAUACGGCCCAGACUCCUACGGGAGGCAGCAGUGGGGAAUAUUGCACAAUGGGCGGAAGCCUGAUGCAGCAACGCCGCGUGCGGGAUGACGGCCUUCGGGUUGUAAACCGCUUUCGCCUGUGACGAAGCGUGAGUGACGGUAAUGGGUAAAGAAGCACCGGCUAACUACGUGCCAGCAGCCGCGGUGAUACGUAGGGUGCGAGCGUUGUCCGGAUUUAUUGGGCGUAAAGGGCUCGUAGGUGGUUGAUCGCGUCGGAAGUGUAAUCUUGGGGCUUAACCCUGAGCGUGCUUUCGAUACGGGUUGACUUGAGGAGGGUAGGGGAGAAUGGAAUUCCUGGUGGAGCGGUGGAAUGCGCAGAUAUCAGGAGGAACACCAGUGGCGAAGGCGGUUCUCUGGGCCUUUCCUGGCGCUGAGGAGCGAAAGCGUGGGGAGCGAACAGGCUUAGAUACCCUGGUAGUCCACGCUGUAAACGGUGGGUACUAGGUGUGGGGUCCAUUCCACGGGUUCCGUGCCGUAGCUAACGCUUUAAGUACCCCGCCUGGGGAGUACGGCCGCAAGGCUAAAACUCAAAGGAAUUGACGGGGCCCCGCACAAGCGGCGGAGCAUGCGGAUUAAUUCGAUGCAACGCGUAGAACCUUACCUGGGUUUGACAUGGAUCGGGAGUGCUCAGAGAUGGGUGUGCCUCUUUUGGGGUCGGUUCACAGGUGGUGCAUGGCUGUCGUCAGCUCGUGUCGUGAGAUGUUGGGUUAAGUCCCGCAACGAGCGCAACCCUUGUUCACUGUUGCCAGCACGUUAUGGUGGGGACUCAGUGGAGACCGCCGGGGUCAACUCGGAGGAAGGUGGGGAUGACGUCAAGUCAUCAUGCCCCUUAUGUCCAGGGCUUCACGCAUGCUACAAUGGCUGGUACAGAGAGUGGCGAGCCUGUGAGGGUGAGCGAAUCUCGGAAAGCCGGUCUCAGUUCGGAUUGGGGUCUGCAACCCGACCUCAUGAAGUCGGAGUCGCUAGUAAUCGCAGAUCAGCAACGCUGCGGUGAAUAAGUUCCCGGG
rnacentral:rRNA from 1 species